rnacentral:rRNA from 1 species
GACGGGACCGCACAAGCGGUGGAUGAUGUGGUUAAUUCGAUGCAACGCGAAAACCUUACCACCUUUGACAUGUACGGAAUCCUUUAGAGAUAGAGGAGUGCUCGAAAGAGAACCGUAACACAGGUGCUGCAUGGCUGUCGUCAGCUCGUGUCGUGAGAUGUUGGGUUAAGUCCCGCAACGAGCGCAACCCUUGUCAUUAGUUGCUACAUUCAGUUGGGCACUCUAAUGAGACUGCCGGUGACAAACCGGAGGAAGGUGGGGAUGACGUCAAGUCCUCAUGGCCCUUAUAGGUGGGGCUACACACGUCAUACAAUGGCUGGUACAAAGGGUUGCCAACCCGCGAGGGGGAGCCAAUCCCAUAAAGCCAGUCGUAGUCCGGAUCGCAGUCUGCAACUCGACUGCGUGAAGUCGGAAUCGCUAGUAAUCGUGGAUCAGCAUGUCACGGUGAAUACGUUCCCGGGUCUU